GAACUCUUAGAGUCAGUCUAUGGAGCUUGAGGCAGCCGAGGUCAUCCUGGCGCAUACCUACCUCUUACUGUCACUGGAUGCGCGCAAACUGAUCUGUGAGAGCCAUCAGAGGAAUGGACUGAGCAAGGCGCGCGUGCAAAUGACUGAAAACUUGUGGGACUGCAAGAUUCAGACUGCUUCGUACUGAAGCAGUAGCGAGGCAUGAAUACAGGAACAGAAUGCUCACUCUUCCUUGUACAAAGGCAAAAUGUG